rnacentral:lncRNA from 1 species
UUUAUCAGAUUUUCAAUUAACGGAAUUUUAUUAAAUUUGAAUUGGAUAUAUGGAUUGUCGGAUUACCAGUUCGACCACAAGUCUAUGUCAGAUAUGAAAACAUGUUUUGAAAGUAAAAAAAAAAAAAUUAUUUUUUAUUUAAAAAUUAUAAUUCCUUGUAAAUUUUAUCAAAAUGAUCAAAACAUAAUGAUUUUAUGUUUCAAUUUUAUCAAAAUUAUCAAAAACAUGCUUUGAAUUUAGUGAAUAAUUAAAAUUUUCAAAAAAAGAAAUGAAUAAUCAAUUUGAAAUAGUUAAUCGGCUAUUUUGGUACAUCUACAAUCUACGCGUUUCACGUUGCUCAAGAUCUAUUUUUUUUACUUUAGUUUUUAAUUAAUAAACAGAAAUUAUACGAGAUUAACUUCAUCUUCUUCCUCUCAAAAUCCUCUGCAAACC